rnacentral:rRNA from 1 species
AUUGAACGCUGGCGGCAGGCCUAACACAUGCGAGUCGAGCGGAUGAAGGGAGCUUGCUCCUGGAUUCAGCGGCGGACGGGUGAGUAAUGCCUAGGAAUCUGCCUGGUAGUGGGGGAUAACGUCCGGAAACGGGCGCUAAUACCGCAUACGUCCUGAGGGAGAAAGUGGGGGAUCUUCGGACCUCACGCUAUCAGAUGAGCCUAGGUCGGAUUAGCUAGUUGGUGGGGUAAAGGCCUACCAAGGCGACGAUCCGUAACUGGUCUGAGAGGAUGAUCAGUCACACUGGAACUGAGACACGGUCCAGACUCCCACGGGAGGGAGCAGGGGGGAAUAUUGGACAAAGGGCGGAAGCCUGAACCAGCCAUGCCGCGGGUGUGAAGAAGGGCUUCGGAUUGGAAAGCACUUUAAGUUGGGAGGAAGGGCAGUAAGUUAAUACCUUGCUGUUUUGACGUUACCAACAGAAUAAGCACCGGCUAACUUCGUGC